CGUCAGCAAACUCUCUCUUCUUUUGGUGGGCCUUACUUACACGAUAAAUAUUUAUUAUACGAUCGCGUUUUCGUCUGAAUUAUUUAUUGGGUUAGAAAAAUCUUCUUUCUCUUAACUUUUUAUCUUCAGUAUCUCUUCGGCUUCUUCUCUUUCUCAGGGGUGAAACAGAGACUGCUAGGUUACAAGGAAGUAGAUGAAACACAACAAACAACAGAUUUCAAACAAAAAGAUUUGGAACAUGGGGAAGAACACGAAGGAGGCUACGCCUCGACCUCCGAUGAACACCGACGGCAUGGAGAUUCAGUUAUCUGGUCAUCACUACGACGGGGUGUCCAUGCCAGCCGAUAGAACUGUCGCCGGUGUACUUUCAAAGCACCGCCGUCUAGGAGGGGGUCCUGCGGCCACAUAACGUCGGAUUCGCAAAGAACACUGACUCCCACUACAAAAAAAUUGUUGUUUAGCAUCAUUUAUUUUGUAUUUUUGCAUUAGUUAUAAAUGAUGUAAAAUAAUUUUGCAUCAUUUAUAUAAAUGACUCUGAAAGUGGUGAUGCAAAUAAUUCACAUCGUUUUGUUAAUAAUUGAUGUAAAAAUGCUAAAUAUUUACAUCAACUAUUAUAAAUGAUGUAAAAUAUAUAUCAAUUACAAUAACUGAUAUUAAUGUUACAAUUAAAAAUAAUUGAUGUAAAAUAUUCUUUUCAUUGAUGUUACAAUUAAAAAUAAGAAAAUUACAAAAACAAGAAAACAAAAGAACACAAUUAAAAAAACAGAUAAACAUAGUUCGCCGUAAGAGUUCUUCGAUCAAGUUUCUUCUUCUUCCAAUUCUCUGUAUCUUUUGCUGUUGGUUGUAGGGUUUUAAGCUAAUAGUUUCUUCUACAAAUAAAACCAUAAUCAUCAUCACUCAUAUAAGAAAAUACCGAUUCAUAGACAAAAACAAUAUAAAGAAAAGUUUGCAUCAGAUUGUCACUAUUGACUAACCUUAACCAAUGGUUCCUGAGGUAAACAAUAAUAGACUUCACGAAGGUUCCAAGAAUAUUAUUUCAGAUCUGCAGAUUCAACCUCUCUUAAACUGUGUUAAAGAAUUGUGUGUGGAAGAAAAGACUUUGCAAAAAAGAUGUAAAGGAUCGUUGCUUUUAUUCAGUUGAUUUCUUAUUAGAAGGAAACGUGAACUAGUGGUGAGAUAAAAUAGGAGAUAUUGCUAUAUUUUUGGUAACAAACAUAUAGAUUUUUAAUGGUUUACAAUUUUCUUUACAAAACAAUUUAACGCAGUACAUAUAUAAGAUUAACUAUUAACAUUUAUUAAUUAGGUCGAAAAUUUAAAAUAUUAGUUGUAAAAAAAUAGAAUAAUUUCUUUCUUUUAAUUAAAUAUGUAUUCUAGUGAGUAUAAAAAUGUUUUUUUUAAUAUAGAUUUUCAGAUUCUUUAUUUAGUUAAUAUAUAUGUUAUAUUUUUAAUAUUAAAAAUAUCAAUUAAUGUAGCUUACUUAUUAAAUCAAUUCGAAAUAGUUUAUCAAAGCAUAAAAAAUCGUUUAUAAGCAGAAAUGAUCUACGUACAUAUUAGUAACUAAUGAAAAUUAUGUUAGUAUCAUUUUUAUCAUUGAUGUCAAAUUUGCAACAUUUAUUAAAAUGAUUUUACUUUUGAAUCAUUUAAUAAGUGAUGUAAACUCAUAUUUUCUAUCAUUUUUCAAAAAGUGAUGUAAACUAAUAAAGAUUUGCAUCAAUUUCAUUCAAUCGAUGCCAAACAAGUUAAUAACCGCAUCGUUUGUAUCAUUUCCUAAUAAGUAAUUCUAAAUAGUAUCAUUUAUUUUUGUGAUUCUAUUUAAGUGAUGUAAUAUGAUCCUUUUUUUGUAGUGUCCCUAUCUCUCCAUAUUGACUGCGAAGAGGCUCCACCACUCAUAGGUCCGAACAAUCACAUGAUCCUCCUCCUACACUCACCGUUCGAGAAGUAACUAUGUCGGAAAGUAAACGAACCUGGAGAACCGCCUUCUCCGUGGUAGAUCCGCCGUCAAACGAGCCCCUCCCAACAGAUCGAUACAAACCCUAGAAAUUCCAAUGACUGAUUUUCAUUAUUCGCCGGGGCUCCACCGUCCUCUAGCAGAGCAACACCUUCGACCAACGAGCCGCCAGGACCCAUGAGGCACUCCUAGGGAUCCGCCGCGCCAUGGAUUGAAAAACGGUAUCGGAAAAAGGAGAAGAGAAGCACCACUGAAACGUCACCGGAUGCCAACUACUUCGUCAG
rnacentral:lncRNA from 1 species